AAACUCAAAUGAAUUGACGGGGACCCGCACAAGCAGCGGAGCAUGUGGUUUAAUUCGAAGCAACGCGAAAAACCUUACCAGGGCUUGACAUCCCUCUGAAAGCUUCCUUAACCGGAAGCCUCCUUCGGGCAGAGGUGACAGGUGGUGCAUGGUUGUCGUCAGCUCGUGUCGUGAGAUGUUGGGUUAAGUCCCGCAACGAGCGCAACCCUUGUCGUCAGUUACUAACAUUAAGUUGAGGACUCUGAUGAGACUGCCGGGGUCAACCCGGAGGAAGGUGGGGAUGACGUCAAAUCAUCAUGCCCCUUAUGUUCUGGGCUACACACGUGCUACAAUGGUCGGUACAAUGAGAAGCAAAGCCGCGAGGCGGAGCAAAUCACCAAAACCGAUCCCAGUUCGGAUUGCAGGCUGCAACUCGCCUGCAUGAAGUCGGAGUUGCUAGUAAUCGCGAAUCAGCAUGUCGCGGUGAAUGCGUUCCCGGGUCUUGUACACACCGCCCGU
rnacentral:rRNA from 1 species